CAGAUGCUGGCUAUCUGGGUUUUCUACGAGGCAGAACAUGUGACUGAAAAGCAUGACGAAUAGGCCAGUGUCAACCAGCCCUAUGAAGGAUGCUUGUUACCACACACAUUAUGUUUGCUGCACUGAUAUAUGUGUCCCUCCCUGCAGGGUGAAGCAUGCAAUUACAUAGACAAGGAACAGCGUGUUACAGCUACAAGUUGCUCAGGGUGAAGCAUGCAAUCACAUAGACAAGGAACAGCGUGUUACAGCUACAAGUUGCUCAGGGUGAAGCAUGCAAUCACAUAGACAAGGAACAGCGUGUUACAGCUACAAGUUGCUCAGGGUGAAGCAUGCAAUCACAUAGACAAGGAACAGCGUGUUACAGCUACAAGUUGCUCAGGGUGAAGCAUGCAAUCACAUAGACAAGGAACAGCGUGUUACAGCUACAAGUUGCUCAGGGUGAAGCAUGCAAUCACAUAGACAAGGAACAGUGUGUUACAGCUACAAGUUGCUCAGGGUGAAGCAUGCAAUCACAUAGACAAGGAACAGCGUGUUACAGCUACAAGUUGCUCAGAUGGUGCAUGUUUUUUAAGUGGACGCUCGUCAAGGACAAGGACUGGAAUGAGGCAAAUCAUGCUCAACAUCUCCAGCAGCACCUACUCUUCAAGAAGUAGAUGUCCCAAACAACCCUAUGGUGAAUGAGGAUCUGCUUCAUUCUCAAGUUAAAGUCAGCCUUUGCAUCUCCAAAGACAUCUACUUAUCAGCAAGUAGAUGAUGAAGACCAGCCUAUGAUGAAGAAGCUCAAAGACAUCUACCCAUCAGCAAGUAGAUGUUGAAGAUCAGCCUAUGAUGAAGAAGCUCAAAGACAUCUACCCAUCAGCAAGUAGAUGAUGAAGACCAGCCUAUGAUGAAGAAGCUCAAAGACAUCUACCCAUCAGCAAGUAGAUGAUGAAGACCAGCCUAUGAUGAAGAAGCUCAAGUACAUCUACCCAUCAGCAAGUAGAUGAUGAAGACCAGCCUAUGAUGAAGAAGCUCAAAGACAUCUACCCAUCAGCCAGUAGAUGAUGAAAACCAGCCUAUGAUGAAGAAGCUCAAAGACAUCUACCCAUCAGCAAGUAGAUGAUGAAGACCAGCCUAUCAUGAAGAAGCUGCACUCUCCAGUACAAAUCAGUCAAAGACAUCUACCCAUCAACACAGAGAUGUCUAAGACCAGCAUAUGAUACAUGAGCUCAAAGACAUCUACCCGUCAACAAUGAGAUGUCAAAGACCAGCCGAUGAACCUGUCAACAAUGAGAUGUCAAAGACCAGCCGAUGAUGCAGAUUCUCAAAGACAUCUACCCGUCAACAAAGAGAUGUCAAGGACCAGCCGAUAAGGCAGGAGCUCAAAGACAUCUACCCGUCAACAAAGAGAUGUCUAGACCAGCCGAUGAUGCAGGAGCUACACUCCCCAGUAAAAGAGACGGAGAUAAAGGGAAUAGUUUCCUGAAAAGAAGUGCAGAAUGGAAUCAAAAAUACUGAUGCCAUCAAGGAUACUGGGUAUAAAGGAGAGCAACGCAUAUGAAAACAUCGCUAUCGACAAGGCAUGUUAGCUGCAAGCAUUCAUGGAUGUAACAAUUAGUUUGUUAUCUUUAACAGUAAGGUAUUAUAAAUGUGUUUUUAUGAACUGAAUAAGCUUCAUUCGGAACACUGCUUCACGCCCGUUGUGGCAUGAUCUCCAAGAAAUGAGCACAUCAUCCCGAUUCUUUGCUGUCUCCACUGGCUGCCGAUCAAGGGCCAUGUUGUGUUCAAGCCAAUGUUGCUCACUUACAAGUCUCAACAUGAUCUCGCUCCUGCAUGUAACUCUGAACUUAUAACCUCGUAUAAUACACAUCCUCGUUGUCGAACGCUCAUCAUCACAGUGUCUACUGCAAUCUCCCCACAGAGUCUCUACUUCGCAUUAUGGGGGUCAAUCCUGCUCCCACCUUAUGGAACGGUCUUCCUCUUAUUGUUCGACAAGCUACUUUGGUCACUUCCUUCAACAGUCGUCUGAAAAUAAUGAUGCACUUUUUGUGCUUUUAAUUAUUGUUUUAGCUGAACACUCCUGUGUUGUUUUUAUGGCCAGAUGCUGAGGAUCUUGGCUAAGGGUGUAAGUGCUGGUAACCUCUCCCCUUUUUUCAAAAUAGGUUUUUGAAUUAAUGAUGCACUUCUUGUGCUUUUAAUUAUUGUUUUAGCUGAUCAGUUCUGUGUUUUUACGGCCAGAUGCUGAGGAUCUUGGCUAAGGGUGUAAGUGCUGGUAACCUCUCCCCUUUUAAAAUAUGUUUUCUAUUAUUGGUAUGUUACUUUUGUGUAGAAGUGUGAAGGCACUGGACACUAUUGGUUAUUACUCAUAAUAAUUUUUAGCGUAGAAACUUAUUUGCUAACUAGCAAUGAAGAGCUGUUGCUAGUAUGCAACAUUGUGAGAAACGGCUCCCUGUGAAGUAACGUAGUUUUUGAGGUA